AUUGAACGCUGGCGGCAUGCCUUACACAUGCAAGUCGAACGGCAGCACGGGUGCUUGCACCUGGUGGCGAGUGGCGAACGGGUGAGUAAUACAUCGGAACGUACCUUAUCGUGAGGGAUAACGCAGCGAAAGCUGUGCUAAUACCGCAUACGCCCUGAGGGGGAAAGCGGGGGAUCGCAAGACCUCGCGCGAUUAGAGCGGCCGAUGCCUGAUUAGCUUGUUGGUGGGGUAAAAGCCCACCAAGGCGACGAUCAGUAGCUGGUCUGAGAGGACGAUCGGCCACACUGGGACUGAGACACGGCCCAGACUCCGACGGGAGGCAGCAGUGAGGAAUUUUGGACAAUGGGGGCAACCCUGAUCCAGCAAUGCCGCGUGAGUGAAGAAGGCCUUCGGGUUGUAAAGCUCUUUUGUCAGGGAAGAAACACCGGCUCUAACACAGUCCGGGAAUGACGGUACCUGAAGAAUAAGCACCGGCUAACUACGUGCCAGCAGCCGCCGUAA
rnacentral:rRNA from 1 species